rnacentral:rRNA from 1 species
AACGAACGCUGGCGGCAUGCCUAACACAUGCAAGUCGAACGAGCUCUUCGGAGCUAGUGGCGCACGGGUGCGUAACGCGUGGGAACCUGCCCUUAGGUUCGGAAUAACACAGAGAAAUUUGUGCUAAUACCGGAUAAUGUCUUCGGACCAAAGAUUUAUCGCCUUUGGAUGGGCCCGCGUAGGAUUAGCUAGUUGGUGGGGUAAAGGCUCACCAAGGCGACGAUCCUUAGCUGGUCUUAGAGGAUGAUCAGCCACACUGGGACUGAGACACGGCCCAGACUCCUACGGGAGGCAGCAGUGGGGAAUAUUGGAAAAUGGGCGCAAGCCUGAUCCAGCAAUGCCGCGUGAGUGAUGAAGGCCUUAGGGUUGUAAAGCUCUUUUACCCGGGAUGAUAAUGACAGUACCGGGAGAAUAAGCCCCGGCUAACUCCGUGCCAGCAGCCGCCGUAAAAC